rnacentral:misc_RNA from 1 species
GGCUAAAUUCCAUGUCAUGAGAGAUGAUUGAACUUUGCGCUGGUCGUCAACCUACCGCAACCCUCCUCCUCUACCUAGGUUUAGGAUUGACUAUGUUUUGCUAAGUUCACAUAGACAGAAUUCCAUUACAUCUUUCUAUGGAAGGACAAUUUUAAGAGUCAUUGAGAAGUCCAUGCCUUUGGAUUAAUAUUACUCUUUUAACCAUUGUUUGAUUUUAUCAUAAAUUUUAGUCCUCUUUUUAUGAAGGUAGCAUCACUAACAACAGGCUCAUUACUUCAUUUAUAAUGUGUUGAAAUUUAAGUUAAUCUUAGUCUCUUUUAUAUACAUAUUUAGUCAUCUUGUUCACCUGAAUUAAAGAGGCAACAAUGGACCGGAUAGGUGCUUUCACUUGUUUGAAGGGAACAUAAGAGAGCUAUAACGAAUGAAAGGCAACAUGGAAGCAAACUAGAGUGAAAAACCAUGCCUUCCUACGAAAAGUUAAAGUUUGAGGUAGCCUAUAUUCAUUUGCUAUGCAUGAAAUUAAUAUUUAAAGUUGUUGUAAAGGUGAAAUCACUUAUCUUUGCACUUCCUUUUGGUUGGCUUUUUGCAAUUUGUUGAGCUGUGAUGCAAUAUGAAAUAACUGACCUCUUGGAUGGGUGCCAUGUGUAAGAGGAGAGGUUGGCCUGUAUACCAAAGACAAGUACUCAUAGACUCAUAUAUACAACUUCUCCACACAGAUCCUGUAGUCGAGGAUAACAAGAAAUGUAGUGGUUGUCUUCCUAGAGAAGUCAUCUUUGAUGACUCCUCUUGACGGGUCGUCUCUUAUCAGAUCGUUAAAAAGCAUGACUUCUCCGAGAAGAAACCAGCUUGUUUAAUGCUACUGUGCCAUCACUUCUAAAGUGACCCCAC